rnacentral:tRNA from 1 species
GGGGUCUGAAACUCCUCCUUAAUG